rnacentral:rRNA from 1 species
GGGGGGGCGUGCUAUACAUGCAAGUCGAGCGGACAGAAGGGAGCUUGCUCCCGGAUGUUAGCGGCGGACGGGUGAGUAACACGUGGGUAACCUGCCUGUAAGACUGGGAUAACUCCGGGAAACCGGAGCUAAUACCGGAUAGUUCCUUGAACCGCAUGGUUCAAGGAUGAAAGACGGUUUCGGCUGUCACUUACAGAUGGACCCGCGGCGCAUUAGCUAGUUGGUGGGGUAAUGGCUCACCAAGGCGACGAUGCGUAGCCGACCUGAGAGGGUGAUCGGCCACACUGGGACUGAGACACGGCCCAGACUCCUACGGGAGGCAGCAGUAGGGAAUCUUCCGCAAUGGACGAAAGUCUGACGGAGCAACGCCGCGUGAGUGAUGAAGGUUUUCGGAUCGUAAAGCUCUGUUGUUAGGGAAGAACAAGUGCGAGAGUAACUGCUCGCACCUUGACGGUACCUAACCAGAAAGCCACGGCUAACUACGUGCCAGCAGCCGCGGUAAUACGUAGGUGGCAAGCGUUGUCCGGAAUUAUUGGGCGUAAAGGGCUCGCAGGCGGUUUCUUAAGUCUGAUGUGAAAGCCCCCGGCUCAACCGGGGAGGGUCAUUGGAAACUGGGAAACUUGAGUGCAGAAGAGGAGAGUGGAAUUCCACGUGUAGCGGUGAAAUGCGUAGAGAUGUGGAGGAACACCAGUGGCGAAGGCGACUCUCUGGUCUGUAACUGACGCUGAGGAGCGAAAGCGUGGGGAGCGAACAGGAUUAGAUACCCUGGUAGUCCACGCCGUAAACGAUGAGUGCUAAGUGUUAGGGGGUUUCCGCCCCUUAGUGCUGCAGCUAACGCAUUAAGCACUCCGCCUGGGGAGUACGGUCGCAAGACUGAAACUCAAAGGAAUUGACGGGGGCCCGCACAAGCGGUGGAGCAUGUGGUUUAAUUCGAAGCAACGCGAAGAACCUUACCAGGUCUUGACAUCCUCUGACAACCCUAGAGAUAGGGCUUUCCCUUCGGGGACAGAGUGACAGGUGGUGCAUGG